rnacentral:tRNA from 1 species
UGCGCGAACUGGGCGAAGUGCAUGGCUUCGAGGUUGUCGUCAUUGACGACAUCGCUCUCGAAGAGGGCCGCCGGGUCUCGUCCACUUUCGUGCGU